UACGAAGGGGGCUAGCGUUGCUCGGAAUUACUGGGCGUAAAGCGCACGUAGGCGGUCUUUUAAGUCGGGGGUGAAAUCCUGGAGCUCAACUCCAGAACUGCCUUCGAUACUGGAAGACUCGAGUCCGGGAGAGGUGAGUGGAACUGCGAGUGUAGAGGUGAAAUUCGUAGAUAUUCGCAAGAACACCAGUGGCGAAGGCGGCCAACUGGUCCGGUACUGACGCUGAGGUGCGGAAAGCGUGG
rnacentral:rRNA from 1 species